rnacentral:rRNA from 1 species
CGGAGGGUGCAAGCGUUAUCCGGAUUUACUGGGUUUAAAGGGUGCGUAGGUGGGUAAGAAAGUCAGUGGUGAAAUCUUCGGGCUUAACCCGGAAACUGCCAUUGAUACUAUUUAUCUUGAAUACUUUGGAGGUAAGCGGAAUAUGUCAUGUAGCGGUGAAAUGCUUAGAUAUGACAUAGAACACCAAUUGCGAAGGCAGCUUACUACACAGUCAUUGACACUGAGGCACGAAAGCGUGGGGAUCAAACAGGAUUAGAUACCCUGGUAGUCCACGCCCUAAACGAUGGAUACUCGACAUCAGCGAUGCACUGUUGGUGUCUGAGCGAAAGCAUUAAGUAUCCCACCUGGGAAGUACGAUCGCAAGAUUG